AAACGGUGAUGAGGGCAUUUCCUCAAAAUGUCCUUGAACCUUUCAUGUGCCUUGAAAAAUGUCUUAGAAUCACCUUUCCUAAAUGCAGAAAUCUCUUAUCUCAAUCU